rnacentral:lncRNA from 1 species
GAGAAGACCCAUGGAGCUCAAAGGCAUUUUCUCAGUAUGAAGAUACAGUUCACUAUGUCUGGAAGGCAAGACAGCAGGAACAUGAGGGAGCUGUUCACACUGCAUCUGCAGUCAGGAAGCCGAGAGAGAGCAGGGAAUGCUGGUCCUCAGCUACCUCACUCCUCUUUCCACUUGUUCAGCACAAGAUCCCAGCCCAUGAGAUGCUGCCACUCAUGUUCGGGUGCCGGGGUGGUGGAAAUGUAUCACUCUGCCCUGCUUUCUGUGCUGUCGACAGACUGAACCCAGGGCUGGCUGCAUGCUAGGUAA